rnacentral:rRNA from 1 species
CCUACGGGCGGCAGCAGUGGGGAAUAUUGGACAAUGGGGGCAACCCUGAUCCAGCCAUGCCGCGUGUGUGAAGAAGGCCCUCGGGUUGUAAAGCACUUUCAGUGAGGAAGAACGCCUGGUGGUUAAUACCCAUCAGGAAAGACAUCACUCACAGAAGAAGCACCGGCUAACUCCGUGCCAGCAGCCGCGGUAAUACGGAGGGUGCGAGCGUUAAUCGGAAUUACUGGGCGUAAAGCGCGCGUAGGUGGCUUGAUAAGCCGGUUGUGAAAGCCCCGGGCUCAACCUGGGAAUGGCAUCCGGAACUGUCAAGCUAGAGUGCAGGAGAGGAAGGUAGAAUUCCCGGUGUAGCGGUGAAAUGCGUAGAGAUCGGGAGGAAUACCAGUGGCGAAGGCGGCCUUCUGGACUGACACUGACACUGAGGUGCGAAAGCGUGGGUAGCAAACAGGAUUAGAUACCCCGGUAGUC